AUUGAACGCUGGCGGGAUGCUCUACACAUGCAAGUCGAACGGCAGCAUAGAGAGCUUGCUCUCUGAUGGCGAGUGGCGAACGGGUGAGUAAUAUAUCGGAACGUGCCCAGUAAUGGGGAAUAACUAGCCGAAAGGUUAGCUAAUACCGCAUACGACCUACGGGUGAAAGCAGGGGAUCUUAGGACCUUGCGUUAUUGGAGCGGCCGAUAUCUGAUUAGCUUGUUGGUGGGGUAAAAGCCUACCAAGGCAACGAUCAGUAGCUGGUCUGAGAGGACGAUCAGCCACACUGGAACUGAGACACGGUCCAGACUCCUACGGGAGGCAGCAGUGGGGAAUUUUGGACAAUGGGGGAAACCCUGAUCCAGCCAUCCCGCGUGAGUGAAGAAGGCCUUCGGGUUGUAAAGCUCUUUCGAAAGUGAAGAAAACUUAUUUCAUAAUAUGUUAUGAGUAUGACGGUAACUUUAGAAGAAGCACCGGCUAACUACGUG
rnacentral:rRNA from 1 species